GAAAACUUUGUGAUUAAAUAUAAUCAUCGGAGGUUUCCAGUGCAAACAAUGCACUGGAGCCAUGAUUAUGGGUCACAGAUAGAUGACAUAGAAAAUUGCAA